rnacentral:rRNA from 1 species
UACAGAGGGUGCGAGCGUUAAUCGGAGUUACUGGGCGUAAAGGGCGCGUAGGCGGUCGUGUAAGAUUGAUGUGAAAUCCCUGGGCUUAACCUAGGAACUGCAUCGAUGACUGCAAGGCUAGAGUAUUGUAGAGGGUAGUGGAAUUUCCGGUGUAGCGGUGAAAUGCGUAGAGAUCGGAAGGAACACCAGUGGCGAAGGCGGCUACCUGGACAAAUACUGACGCUGAGGCGCGAGAGCGUGGGGAGCAAACAGG